GGUCUUGAAAUUUAAAAAAAAAUCAUCACACUUCUAAGGUUAUUAAAGCGUGGAUUAGCAGAAAAUCUAGUAUCACAAGCAAUCUGAAUUUUAAGCUGAAUGAUUUAUGAUGUGAAGAUAAUACUGAUAUAACAUUAUGAAUGUUGUACUGCAUCUGAGAAGCAGGAGCAUCAGUUAUGAAGAUACAGAUUUUAAAGAUGCAUUCUGCCAAGUGAAGGUUCCUGAGCUUUCCUGGAGACAGCACAAACAACAGGUGUUGAGAGCUAGACAAAGCAUUCGAAAUUCUUUCAUUUUCUGGCAUUUUCAUCAUUCAGAAUAAGCUGAAGAAUAACAGUGAAGUGCUGAACUGGACCCAGAAGAUGAAAAUGAUGGCUGGCUUGGGCAGAGAUACCAGUCACACCUCAGUUCCUUGUGUCAGUCUCAGGGCAGUGGCUGUAUUGCACCUGACGUUCCCUUCUCCUCUCUUGCUGGUGUGACCCAGGUGGUGGCUCAUGCAGCAGUACAGAAAGGUGGUUUUCAAACAGUCCAAACCAAAGUUGCUGCACACCCAAAACAAUGCACAUCCCUUUGUGAAUUUCUAAGUGGAUUUUAUAGAGAUAACCAAGUGCUUAAAAGAAGCCCUUCUAGAACCUGGCUGUGAACUGUGUCACUCUUGUGAGCCCAAACUUGAGUCUACACUGAGGUGACACACAGACAACUGAAAAUCAACAGAAAGGAACCCAGAGACACUGUCCUCUGAAAGUUGAAAGUCACUGCAUCACCGUGUGAACUAUAAAGAUACCCUUGAGUUGGCUUAUAAUUAGAAGAAUGACGUAGAUGUUGCAAAAUGUUGGGUGUGUUUCAGUGUUCCUCAUCACUCUAAUGAAGUUGUCACCAUGUGUCCUAUAGCAUGUAAUUUGUUAUAAUAUAUAAAAGAUCAGUUUGCAAUCCCCACAGGGCAGCAAUUGCUUGUCCAAGAUUAUCUGAUGACAGUAAGCGGAACUGAUCCAAGUCAAUCCAAUACAUGUAAGCGUGAAGAUCCAACUCUGCCCUCCACCUGGGACUGCAUGCUCCUCAGAACAGCUGCUACUUGAAAGCAAAUGCAACAUACAAUAUGGGGCAUGGUAAUCAUACCCAAACUGUGAAUUUUUAGAACAAUAUUAUUUGACCACUUAUUGAACUGAUUUCAACUCAUCUUAUAUACCUACUCCCUUAAAAGCCUAUGCUAUUCAAGGUAUAUUUGCAUACCCAUGGCUCUGACAAGACUCAUUUGGAUCAUGUUAUAUAAUAACCUCAGCUAUUCAACAUUUUUUUCUCUUCCUUCUGAAUAUUAUCAGAAAAUGUGAGCUAUCUCAGAACAUGAAAAUUGUUGGGCUGUGAUGCUUCCCAUGCAUGAGGUGGCAAAAACCAUUAAAAGAAUAUUAAUUUACCAGCUAUUAUUUAAAGCAAAUUGUCAAUUACACUGUGGAUCCUUUUUACCACAUAAGGAAUGAAAUGUCUGAUACUGUGUGGUCAAAACAGGCUAAAACUUGGCAUUAUGCUGGCUCAUUGGGUGAAACAUGCACUGUUUUACCUAUAUGCCAGGCAAUUUUGAAACCACCUAGGAUUUGAGCAUACACACUAAAAAAGAAGCAGCCAAAGCAGAGAAAUCCAAUAAUUGGAGGUUGUGGAACUGCUCUGUAAACAUUUAAAAAGUUAGGGUUUCUAGGUUAAAAAAAAAAAAAGUACAGUAUUUUAUUCUUAUUAUCAUUGUUGGUUGUACUGUAUUUGCAGUAUUAAUAAAUGUAGAGUUAUUGCUGUAACCAUACUAAUCCCAGCCUUGCAAAUGGGAUUCAUGUAGUAAACAGAGGUGGAAAGAGAGGUGAAAUCCAAAAGUUGAUGCUGCUGGACACCUAAUUCUACAGGCAAGGACAGACAGUUAGACAGCAUAGUCUUCAUUAGAAGAGCCAUGAUACCUGUGUCUUGUCUGUAGGACGCUAAAAGUCUCUCAGAAUAGUAAAAGAAUAAAAUCUCAAAGAGGGAAAGGUGGCAGCAGGCUCCCUGCACCUAAAAGUUUGACAAGGGCACAGCAGUGUCACAGGACAAGCAAGAUGAACAGGGAUAUGUUGAGACCACAGGGCUGCAGACUCCUCCGAAUCAUGAGGAACACAAUGGCACAGCUGCUGUGACAAAGUCUCCUCCUGCACAGAUGCCACUCUGCCAUAUCAGUCCCUUUACAAAGCUGAUUAUAUCUGCUGUAAAUGUUUAUACUUUUAAGUUUGUACUGAUAGAGAACUGAACCUCUGUCACUCUGUGCUGCCUCCCAUAGCUGUAGAAAUAACCCACUUCUGCCUGACCUAAAUCUGCAAAAUAGGCCGUGUUUAUUCUGUGACACCAGGGAUAGAGUGACUUAGUUGAAAAGCAUCUUGUUAUAAUACAGGAAAAGUGGGGUGAUACAUUCUGCAGUUUUUGCACUUGAAAAUUACUACUUAUAUAAUAUAUGGAAGUUAUAUAAAGUGAAAAGGCAAGUCCUUUAUUCCCAAGUUAAAGAUAUGCAUUCUCAGUCACCCAGAAAUACAGUUCUGAAGGGCAAGUAAAGAAGAAAACUUUCUUUCCCAGUCAGAAGGAAGAGCUACUUAUCCACUCCGUUGCCAUGACCAGUACAAACAAACGGAUGUCUUAUAACUCACCAUUCCCUCCAUCCAAGUAAAAAACUUAUAGAUUAAGCUCCUGUUACCGUUGUAACAGCUAACUUAUGAUUUGUGUCUGAGACCAGUUUUGUCAUCCUUUGCUCUGAACAUAUGCUGUAGGAAAUACGACUUUAAAAAUGUUCAUAUUGAGAAAUGCUAGGAACUGAUAAAAAAUGCAGAACACCUCAGUGUAUUGCUUCUCACUAUUUCCAUUGUGCUUUUAACAAAGAUACUGGAUAUUUAUAUAAUGAAAAUGUUGCAGCACA